AUGCGCGAGAUCUUCGCGCGCGUGGCGCCGGGCGCUCUCGACCUUGUCCGCUGCGCAGGCACGUGCACACGUUGGUUCCGCCUCAUCAGCUGCCCGGCCUUCCUCCGGCGCCUCGGCAUCUCGCCGGAGAACGCUUGCCACCGGUCCUCCUUCCUCCUUGGUGCCUUCUACGUACCGCAAGCGACAUCCGUAAUAAUACCGAAAUUGGGCAAGAAAAGGAAAUCCGACGACCCUCCGCGGUUCUUCAGACUUCGUACGCAGAAGACCGGCGGCGAGCGCCUCACCUUCACCAAGUUUAUCCCAAAUAAUGAUGGAAUCUUCAACUACGCGAGGCCUUUAGCAGCGCAUCGCGGCCUUAUCCUGGUGAAACGCCCGACCCAUGACUGGCGGAAGCUCCAUCUGGCCGUGUGCGAUCCCUUAAUCGGCGAGCGGAGCACGCGCCUCCUCCCACCGCCUCCGCGGGAUCUGGACCCCAUGGACGUUGGGUAUUACAUGACCGGUUAUGCCCUUAUCACGGCGGCAGACCACUGCGUUACCGGUGAUUGUGAUCACCACACGCAGCCGGUGUUCCAAGUCCUCUUCACCACUCACUGCUAUCAUGACAAUGACAAACUGGAGUAUGUUUUCUCUUACUCAUCCGCCAUGGACAGUUGGAGUACACCUAUCAAGUGCUCCCAAACUUUUGGCCUCACUAGGUCUGGGCCGUGCGCCGGUGUGGUAAACGGUGGUAUCGUGCAUUGGUUGUACAAAGACAAUACAAACUUCUACACCCUCAACAUAAGCGCUGACGCAACACAUGUCUCCUUAACCAAGAUCCCUAUUCAAGUUAAACGUGGCUUGCGACCCUUCCCGUGCAUCCUUGGGGAAGGAAAGCUCUCAUUUGUUAAUAUCGGAGACAAAGAUGUCCUUGAACUUUGGACCAAGCGAGAACAAGACAAUGAUCAUAGUUGUGACAGUAAGGAAGGAUGGCUGCACUCUGAGCUGAUGCCCCUAGAGGUCAAGGGGAUUGAGAUCGUGUCCUUUGCAGAGAGCUCAUGUGUGAUAUUCAUGGUACAAAAAGGGUGUCGUACCAUAUUCAGUCUUAACCUUGUGAGCAAGAAAAUGGAGCAAGUGAUAGAGGAAGACGGCAAUAUGAACAUGUUCUAUUCAUAUAAUGGUUACGAAAAGUGGAGAGACCAGAGUCAUGUGCUCUACGAGAUAGAUUGGCCGUCAUACCUAUUUCACCUAUCAGCUGGAAGCUAUGAGGUGCAAUAA
rnacentral:rRNA from 1 species